ACCAUAUCUUUAGCACAUGAUAUGUCUAUUUAAAUGAGAGUGCCUUUUGAGUACUUGAAACUAUAGAUAAGGAAUUCAGAAAGAUCUGAAAACAGAAUUUUGGAGUUGUUAGCACAUAGGUAGUAAUUGAAACCAUGGGUGUGAGUAGGAUGAUUCAGGAAGAAUGGGCAGAAUGAGAAAAGAAGGCCAAAGAAGGAAUCUUGGGGAGUCAAACAGUAAGGCUGCAGGUAGAGAAUGAAGCAGUAGCCAAAAGUGUGGCCAAGAGAAUAAACCAUAUUCUGUCCUAGCAUUCAUGAGAAUUCAAGGGAAGGAAGACUAUGUCACAGGCUGAGGAUAAAUGUUUCACUGGAGUACAGAGAACAAAAGAAAAAUAGAUAGCUGUGCACUGAGGAGUGAAAAAGGGAAGUGAAAGUAGAAACAGAAACUGCAGCUGAUUCUAGAAGUGCAGCAGUGAGGGAAGGAAAUACAUGCCUUCAAGGUCAGCUAAAUAAGCAGAUGCAUCUUAAGGAUGAGGACAAGUUAAACAGGUUUGUAAGCUAAAAGAGAACAGGCAUGACAGAGGAUACAGUGAAGAUUCAAAAAGAGGUGAUGAAUGUUGGAAAGGUCUUGGAGGACACGUAAUAGAAGGGAAAGUUCACAAGGAGAGGGGCUUUGUCUGUCUUGUUUGACACUGUGUCCCCAGGUUUAGAAUAUUCUGGCAUCAGAAGGCACUCAGUAAACAAAGAGAGGAAGAAAGGAAGAAGAUGGAAUCGGGAGUACAGAUUAAAGUGUUAUCUUUGGAAGAGAGGCAAGACAUCCUCUGGGACAGAGGGAAGGAGGGAAAGCUGGGGAACAUGAAGGUAACACAAGAGGUGUGGUUUGUGACUGAUGGAUGCUAUUUUCUCUGUGAGACUGAAUCCCGACAACUUUGGACAUUCCUUCAUUUGACAAAUUUUUACUGCACACUUACAGACCAUUGACACAGUGAAGAUGAGGAUGGCAUGAUUUUCCUGUCUUUGUGGAGAUAAAUGAAUGAACUAUUUUAAACUAGCUGAAGCAUGAGUUAUUCCCAAAUUUCCUCCACGAACCAUAGGCUCCUACCCUUAACCAUUUUAUGAAAAGUCUAUGGUGAAUUGGAGUCCUCCAGUAAUUUGACAAUAUCUGAUUUGCCAUGGUCAUGUGGAAAAAGUAGGGAUGUGAGCAAGUCAUAGUUUCACUUGGUAGGAAAAUUCUUCUAAUUUUGUCAAGAUGAAACGUUUUAUACUGGGUAGAAGGCAGUGUGAGAGAAGUGGACAGUAGAAUUAAUAUUCAGUGAGCCAGUGGCUGUAUUUUAAAAUAUGAAGGAUACAUAUUUGGCGGUUUAAGUACAAUGAUCUACUUUUGGGCUGCUAUACUUUAGGCUAAAGCAAUUAAAGGCAAUGUAAUGAACAUCAUUAUCUGUGGGUGUCCCUUUGAUUAUCACUGUGUUAUGGUUUACACUGUAAUGGCUCUCUCUUUGAGGAAAGGCACUGUUCCUCCAGGGAGAUAAAGUAUGAAUCUUACCUUUAAGCAUACACUUCUCCUCACCCUCAGUGUAGAUUGGCUCUGGAAUUUCAUGCUUCACGUGGGAGUUAAAGGUUUUCAUUUGUAAUUUUAUAUUCGUAUUAGAGGCCAGGCUGUUGAGAUUAGAAUGUAUUUAUUUUUCAGUUGGAGUGUGAUAUUCAAUAUUCCCUAUUGUAAACAGCCAUAUUAACCAAGAUAAUUUAAUUUUGGAAUGAUUACUUUUUGCCUUUGAGAUGUAGAUCAAAAGGUUCUAUCAUAUAUACAAAUAAAGUAAAAAAAUUUUUUUUCUGUGAAUGUUAUAUAUUUUUUUUAUUAUGAUAAAAAGCACAACUUUUCCCUUAUUUUUGGGUGUAUGGUACAGCAUUGUUAACUAUAAGCAUAAUGUGAGCUGAUCUGUGAAAUUUUUUCCUCGUCUGACUAAAACUACGCCCACUGAACAGCAAUUUCCCCAUUUAUCUCUCUCCAAGCAUCCAGAAAUCAUAAUUUUACUAUAUAUUUCCAUGAGUUUGAUUAUUUUAGAUACUUCAUGUAAGUGGAAUCGUGUAGCAUUUGUCCUUCUGGUACUGGUUUAUUUCACUUAGCAUACUGUCCUCAAGGAAUAUCUAUGUAGUGGAAUUUUCUUCUUUUUGUUGGCUGAAUAAUAUUCUAUUAUAUAAACAUAUACUACAUUUUCUUUAUCCAUACAUAUUGCUGAUACACUUUUACGUUGUUCCUUAUUCUUAUCUAUUGUGAAUAACGCUGCAGUGAACGUGGAAGUGUAAAUACCUUCCAUGUCCUGUUUCAGCUCUUUUGGAUAAAUGCCCAGAAGUGGGAUUGCUGGAUCAAAUGGUACUUUUUAAUUUUAAUUUUUCUAUGAACACGUAUGCUGUUUUUUUUGAUAGUGGCAACACCAUUUUAUAUUCUCACCAAUAGCGCAUGAAAUUCAAUUUUCUUUGCAUCCUUGCCAAUAUUUUUUAUUUAUUUAUUUUUAAUUUUUUGUAAUGACCAUCAUAAUGGGUGUGAGGCAAUACCUCAGUGUGGUUUUGAUUUGCAUUUCUCUAAUGAUUAGUGAUGAAUGUCUUUUCAUAUGCCUGUUGGCCAUUUGUAUCUCUUUUUUGAAGAUGCUUUUUAUUUUUUGCUAUUGAGUUUCUUGUACAUUUUAAUAUUAACUCCCUGUCAGAUAUAUGGUGUAUAAAUAUUUUCUCUUAUUCUGUAGAUUGCCUUUUUACUUGGUUGAUAAUUUCCUUUACUAUGCAGAAGAGUUUUAGUUUCUGGUUUUUUCGUUUGAUUUAGGCCCAUUUUUCUAUUUUUGCUUUUGUUGCUUGUACUUUUGGUGUCAUAUCCAAGAAUUCAUUGCCAAGACCAAUGUUAUGAAGAUUUUACCCUAUGUUGCCUUCUUGGAGUUUCAUAAAUUCAUGUCUAUGUUUAAGUCUUUAAUCUAUUUUAAGCUGAUUUUUGUGUAUGAUAUAAAAUAAGGGUGCAAUUUUAUUUUUUUGUAUGUGAAUAUCUGGUUUUCCCAGCACCAAUUUUUUGAGACUCUCCUUUUUCCACUGUGUAGUCUUGGCAUCCUGUCAAAGAUCAUUUGACUGUGUAUGUGUGGAUUUAUUUCUGGGCUCUCAGUAUUGUUCCAUUAGCCUAUAUGUCUAUCUUUAUCCCAGUACCAUGGUCUUUUGAUGAUUAUAGCUUUGUAACAUGUUUUGAAGUAAAAAAAGUGUGAGGCCUCCAGUUUUGCUCUUUUUCUCAAGAUUGUUUAGUCUACCUUGGGGUCCUUUGUACUUCUGUGUAAUUUUUUAGAAUUGUUCUGUCAAUUUCUGCAAAAAAAAUAUCACUAGGAUUUUAAUAGAGAUUGCAGUCAAUGUGUAAAACACUUUGGAUGAUAUGGCCAUUUGAACAAUAUUUUCCUCCAAGUCAUGAACAUGGAAAGUCUUUCCAUUUAUUUGUGUCUUCUUUUCUUUAUUUUUUAUUUUUUUUAAGAUUAUGUUGUGCUCUUUAUUGCCAAAAAUAAACACUUUUAAAA